rnacentral:lncRNA from 1 species
CACAUUUGUUUUUGUGCAAAUCCAUGUAUUGUUCAUUAGUAGCUGUGCGAAUUCUUGCCGAGGAGACUCAAGGAAGUUCUGAUGUUGCGUUCGCAGGCUUCGGAGUCACCUUCCUAUUUUAUAUUCACAUUGUUGUACUUAUUUCCUUAUGUUCUGUUUAGAUGUUGUAGCGAAACUUUGAAGAGCUUAUGACUUGUACUACCGGGUUUUGGAAAGUUGUUCAUUUGUAUAAAGGAUUCACCUCAGAAGAAUUUUAGCCGUUAUUAGUUAUUGUUGUUAUUCCGCAUCUUAGUUGGCUUACCUAAUCCUUAAGACUAGGUGUCAUAAUCUUAUUGUCAAUAAUAUAAUAUGACUCAAGGAGUUUUAUUGUAACUUCAAUCUUGUAGUCACGUAAAUUAUUUAUAGAGAGACAAACCCUAAUUUAAUUUGAAGUAACCAAUAGCUAAUCCUUAAUCCUUUGUUGUUCACCAUGAAACCUUUGCGAAAAUGAAGUUUAAUCGGAUGAAGUCAAGCAGAUUAGGAAAAGAAACAUUAACAGAAAUGGAAAAGAAAGAGAAAAUUUAUAAAGGAGGAAAUGAAUUAUUUUGAGAAAGCUCAAUUGUGGAUCUGAUGAAGUGAAGAAGAUAGAGAAUUCAGAGAAGAAAGAUAUUAUUUUAAAGUAGAAUGCGAAAGAAAAUGGUACAUUAAGAUGACUGGGAGUCUAUGCAACAAGACAUUAAGAUGGUUGCAUAUAAAUGUUGUCCAUAUCGCAAUCUUCGCUCGGAAGUCUCUACUCAAGCACGAAUGAUGCUAGAUCAACUUUGCGACCUUAAAAAAAUGGGACAAAAUUUUGAACUGUUCCCUCUAUGCCAUUAUUCUUUUCUGUGGUUAUUCCUUUGAGCUGGUUCUACCAUUUUUCUUGUGAUUUAUAGAUAUUGAGUUGAUUUACUUGUCUUACCUUGUGUUAUUGUCAUUUGUUGUUGUUAUAUGUAUUACGGAUUUACGGUGAUGUUCGAUCCUUCUGUUGUAAUGUAACUGUUGAUUUUGUUGGUUGCGUUGUAUAUUUAUUUGGGACUAUGAAUGUGGGAUUCCGGUAGAUCUCCCUUGUUUGUUUAUUUGGGACUACGGAUGUGGGAUUCCGGUAGUUCCCCCUUGUUUGUUUAUUUGGCAUUACGGAUUUGAAAUUCUGGUAGAUACCCCUGCACAAUUAUAUGGAACUACGGGAAUGCACCUGGUAGAUUCCUCCAGUACUGGUUAUUUAUAUUUGGGAUUGCGGAACAGAAUUUUAGGUAGAUCCUUCCGCAAUGAUAGUUGGACUACGGGACGGGAUCCUGGGAGAUCCUUCGAAUAUAUAUGAUGGACUAUAGAACGGCAUCCCAUGAGGUCCACUAGAAAAUGGUAAUUUGGAGUACAUGAUGAUAUAUUAGAAGAGGCUUCUCGAUAUUGCUGAGUAUAGAUACACAUCUUUCAUAAAUUGCCUUCCACGUGAGAAUUAUCCUAUUUUGUACGUGAGUUGUAAGUAUGAUUAUGCGGUGUGAUGAGGGCACGAGAUGCCAAGUAUUAGGGUUCUAUUGUUGAGACCCAUAUUGUAUAACUAUGAGCCGAGGUGUCACAUGGUAACUUAUAUCCGAAGGUUAUCCAUUUGAAAAUAUUAUAUUCGAAAGAUACUUAUUUUGAAAAGACUAGUUUGAAAUGUCACAGGCCAAAUAACAACUAUUUGAAAGGAUUAUAUUCAAAAAGAUAUUUUAUUCUGUAAGAACUAUUUUUAAUGUAAAUAUAUAUAUAUAUAUAUUAUUUGAAGGAAGUGUAUUUUGAAUUUUUUUUAUUACUCGAAGGGCUGGACUAUUUGAGUGAGGUUUGUUGGCUGAGAAAUGUGAAAAAAAAAGGAAAGAAAAGUGUUGUAGUUGCCGAAUUGCUACUUGCCUUUACUGUAUAUGUGAUCCCGGAUUUGAGUUGUGUUCCUAUUCAUUUUUUUGGUGUUCUUAUUAUGGUGUUCCGUUGUUACCUAUUGUUUCAUUCCUUAUUGGAGAUGUAGACUUUCAACCAUAUAAUCAUAAGUGACGGAAACUCUGAAGCAGACUGCAGAUGAAUGCAACUCAUUCCAUAUAUUUCUUUCAAAGGUAUCUGAUUCCCUUGACACUGUGCAACACAAGAUACAUCAUCUCCAAGAUAAUCUUUGGCAGACUGUAGAGGAAUGUGGUUCUUUACUUAUAUUUUCAGAGAAAUAUCUGGAAUAUUUCCCCUUUGAAACUCUGCAGAGGAUCAAAGAUGAAUGUGAUUAUCUCGAUCAAGAUGUAUUUGUAUUUUAUGAAUUUAAGCUCCUUGAAACAAAUUUCAACUUCCUUAUAAGGCAUUUCAAGUUGUUGGAUAUUAUUCUCAACUUGCAGAUCUAAAGAGAUCAACCAGUUCUCAUAAGAGAAAUACGAGCACUGUUUGGAGGUGUUUUAAAGAAGCAGAAAACGAUUUGGUAGAGCUUAUGACUUGUACUACCACGUUUUGGAAAGUUGUUUAUUGCAUAAGGGAUUCACCUCAGAAGAAUUUUAGCCGUUAUUAGUUAUUGUUGUUAUUCUGCAUUUUAGUUGGCUUACCUAAUCCUUAAGACUAGGUGUCUUCACGAAACCCAACGAAAAGAAAAUUGGAUCGUGACAGUUAAUGAGUUUACAUGUACACUAGACUAGAUAUAUGUUCAAGAUCACAUAUAAUUAGAUAUGUAAUUCUAGUCAUUUUGUAAGCCAAAAAGUAGUGAAAAGUCCUCUCUUACCUCAACUUCUC